CCUGUUCAAAACAAUGAAAAUAUGCAUUAAAAAUAAAUAAAUAUAAUAGGCAGGGGCGUAGGAAGCUUAGAAAAGUUGGGGGGGGCAGGCUUUGAGGGGCACUUUCAAAAAAAAAAGGGCAUCUCAAAAAAAAUUUUUGGCGACCUCCCCCCCCCGUCGCCAAAAAAAUUUCGGUCAGUGUACCAUUUUAGGGGUAAAAAAUUUUUCCGGACAUACCAUAUCUUUCCUUAAAUACUAAAAAUUUUUUCCGGAAAAACAAAUAUAUGAUAUUUUUAUCGGAAACUAAAACAUUUUUCAGGAAAAAACCUACAUUACAGUUUUCAAAAGUUUCGUUUGGACAAAAACUGCGAAUUUUAUGAAAAUUUUUCAGGCACAAAAAGGGCACUUUGCUUCUGUAAAAAGGGCACUUGCCAAAACUUGGGGGGCCAUGGCCCCCCUGGCCCCCCCGGUUCCUACGCCCCUGAUAAUAGGCCUGAAACGUAUUUCGAUUGUAAAUCUGAUUUGUCUAUGAGAAAAAAAGAUUUUUUAAUCUGUUAUUUGAUUGGUUGGUGCGCAUUGCCCCAGUACCUGAGUGCUGAUAUUAACAGAGUACAAAAGAGAGCGUUAUCAAUCAUUGACCCGAGUAAAACCUGUGAUGCUAAUAUGGGCCAAUUGGUGGUUUAACCACCUUACAUAACAGACGCCAGGAACUCUGCGAUAACCAGUUUGAAAGAAUCUCAGUACCCUCGCACAAACUCUUCAGUCUUUUACCGCCAAGACAUGGCCCCAAUCUAAAUCUUCGUAAGUACCAUGAGUAUGAUCUUCCACGAAUUCAGACACUCCUUCAUCCCAGCAAUGUUUGCGAAAAAGUUUUUAAAGACGUAAUUUUAACAUUUAACUUACAACUCUAAGACCUAAUUUUAACUUUUUUUAGUUCCUAGUUUGAGUAUUCUUAUUGUAAUAUAUAUUAAUCAUUACAUAGUUUAACUUUUGACAUUUCCAACACAUGUAAUAUUCAAAUUACGCAAUUCAGCCGGUUGGCUGCUAUGUAAUUGU
rnacentral:lncRNA from 1 species